CAGUUUUUAUACGACCGCAAAAAUUGAAAAUUUUUUGGUCGUAUAUUGGUAUGACGUUGGCGUCGUCGUCGUCUGGCGUCGUCCAGCGUCGUCCGAAGACACAUUGGUUUUCGCACUCUAACUUUAGUUUAAAUGAAUGGAUCUCCAUGAAAUUUUACCAUAAGGUUCAAUACCACGAAAGGAAGGUGGGGAUUGAUUUUGGGGGUUAUGGUACCAACAGUUAAGGAAUUAGGGGCCAAAAAGGGGCCAAAAAUAAGCAUUUUUGUAACUUCCAGACAAUUACUUGUGUGUAAGUGUAUGGAUCUCUCUGACAUUGUACCACAAGGUUCCAUAUCACAAAGGGAAGGCUGUAAUUGAUUUUGGGGGUAAUUGCCUCAAAAUUUUAGGAAUGAGGGGCCAAAAAAGGGGCAAAAAACAAGCAUUUUUCUAGUUUCAUGACAAUAACUUGUGUGUAAGUGUUUGGAUAUUUCUGAAAUUGUACUACAAGGUUCCAUAUCACAAAGGGAAAGCUGGAAUUGAGUUUGGGGGUAAUUGCCCGAAACGUUUAGGAAUUGGGGGCCAAAAAGGGGCCAAAAAUAAGCAUUUUUCUAGUUUCCAGACAAUAACUUGUGUUCAAGUGUAUGGAUCUCUCUGAAAUUGUACUGCAAGGUACCAUACCACAAAGGGAAGGCUGGGAUUGAGUUUGGGGGUAAUUGCCUCAAAAUUUUAGGAAUUAGGGGCCAAAAAAGGGGCAAAAAAACAAGCAUUUUUCUAGUUUCAUGACAAUAACUUGUGUGUAAGUGUAUGGAUCUUUCUGAAAUUGUACUACAAGGUUCCAUAUCACAAAGGGAAAGCUGGAAUUGUGUUUGGGGGUAAUUGCCGAAACGUUUAGGAAUUUGGGGCCAAAAAGGGGCCAAAAAUAAGCAUUUUUCUAGUUUCCAGACAAUAACUUGUGUUCAAGUGUAUGUAUCUCUCUUAAAUUGUACUGCAAGGUACCAUACCACAAAGGGAAGGCUGGGAUUGAUGAUGGGGGUAAUUGCCUCAAUAUUUUAUGAAUUAGGGGCCAAAAAGGGGCAAAAAACAAGCAUUUUUCUAGUUUCAGGACAAUAACUUGUGUGUAAGUGUAUGGAUCUUUCUGAAAUUGUACUACAAGGUUCCAUAUCACAAAGGGAAAGCUGGGUUUGAGUUUGGGGGUAAUUGCCCUAAACGUUUAGGAAUUUUGGGCCAAAAAGGG